rnacentral:rRNA from 1 species
UGCAAGUCGGACGGGAUAGGAGAGCUUGCUUUCCUUGAGAGUGGCGCACGGGUGCGUAACACGUAUGUAACCUACCUUCGUCAGGGGGAUAGCCUCUCGAAAGAGAGAUUAAGCCCGCAUAACAUGGAGAUAUAGCAUUAUGACUCCAUCAAAUAUUUAUAGGACGAAGAUGGGCAUGCGGAACAUUAGCUAGUUGGUAAGGUAACGGCUUACCAAGGCUACGAUGUUUAGGGGAUCUGAGAGGAUGACCCCCCACACUGGUACUGAGACACGGACCAGACUCCUACGGGAGGCAGCAGUAAGGAAUAUUGGUCAAUGGGCGGAAGCCUGAACCAGCCAUGCCGCGUGCAGGAAGACGGCCCUACGGGUUGUAAACUGCUUUUGCAGGGGAAUAAACCCCUCUACGUGUAGAGGGUUGAAUGUACUCUGAGAAUAAGGAUCGGCUAACUCCGUGCCAGCAGCCGCGGUAAUACGGAGGAUCCGAGCGUUAUCCGGAUUUAUUGGGUUUAAAGGGUGCGUAGGCGGCCUAUUAAGUCAGGGGUGAAAGACGGUAGCUUAACUAUCGCAGUGCCUUUGAUACUGAUGGGCUUGAAUAUACUUGAGGUAGGCGGAAUGUGACAAGUAGCGGUGAAAUGCAUAGAUAUGUCACAGAACACCAAUUGCGAAGGCAGCUUACUAAGGUAUGAUUGACGCUGAGGCACGAAAG